ensembl:piRNA 21ur-5386 ncRNA
UGUGGAAAAAAACAUUUAAAC